rnacentral:misc_RNA from 1 species
UCCGUGUUAACCACGGCAGUCUCUCUAGAGUGCCCAACUGAAUGCUGGCAACUAAAGACAAGGGUUGCGCUCGUUGCGGGACUUAACCCAACAUGUCACCACACGAGCUGACGACAGCCAUGCAGCACCUGUCUCCCGGUCGUAUUGCUACGAAGACCGUAUCUCUACGGCUGUCCGAGGAUGUCAAACCCAGGUAAGGUUUUUCGCGUUGCUUCGAAUUAAACCACAUGAUCCACCGCUUGUGCGGGCCCCCGUCAAUUCCUUUGAGUUUUAGUCUUGCGACCGUACUUCCCAGGCGGGGUACUUAUCGCGUUAGCUGCGACUCAGCGGGGGUCAAGACCCACUAAGUCUAGUACCCAUCGUUUACGGCGUGGACUAC